AGUGAACGCUGGCGGUAGGCCUAACACAUGCAAGUCGAACGGCAGCACAGUAAGAUCUUGCUCUUACGGGUGGCGAGUGGCGGACGGGUGAGGAAUACAUCGGAAUCUACUUUUUCGUGGGGGAUAACGGAGGGAAACUUACGCUAAUACCGCAUACGACCUACGGGUGAAAGCAGGGGAGCUUCGGACCUUGCGCGAUUGAAUGAGCCGGUGUCGGAUUAGCUAGUUGGCGGGGUAAAGGCCCACCAAGGCGACGAUCCGUAGCUGGUCUGAGAGGAUGAUCAGCCACACUGGAACUGAGACACGGUCCAGACUCCUACGGGAGGCAGCAGUGGGGAAUAUUGGACAAUGGGCGCAAGCCUGAUCCAGCCAUACCGCGUGGGUGAUGAAGGCCUUCGGGUUGUAAAGCCCUUUUGUUGGGAAAGAACAGCAGCAGGUUAAUACCCCGCUGUUCUGACGGUACCCAAAGAAUAAGCACCGGCUAACUUCGUG
rnacentral:rRNA from 1 species